rnacentral:rRNA from 1 species
AGAGUUUGAUCCUGGCUCAGAUUGAACGCUGGCGGCAUGCCUUACACAUGCAAGUCGAACGGCAGCACGGGGGCAACCCUGGUGGCGAGUGGCGAACGGGUGAGUAAUACAUCGGAACGUGUCCUGGAGUGGGGGAUAGCCCGGCGAAAGCCGGAUUAAUACCGCAUACGCUCUAUGGAGGAAAGCGGGGGAUCUUCGGACCUCGCGCUCAAGGGGCGGCCGAUGGCGGAUUAGCUAGUUGGUGGGGUAAAGGCCUACCAAGGCGACGAUCCGUAGCUGGUCUGAGAGGACGACCAGCCACACUGGGACUGAAACACGGCCCAGACUCCUACGGGGAAGGAGCAGUGGGGAAUUUUGGAAAAUGGGGGGAACCCUUGAUUCAACCAUUGCCGCCGUGGUGUGAAGAAAGGCCUUCCGGUUGGAAAGCCCUUUUUGUUCCGGAAAAGAAAACCUUUGGGCUUAAACCUCUCAGGGGGAUGACCGUUCCCGAAAAAAUAAACACCCGGUAAAUAACGUGGCCACAGCCCCGGGAAUACCUAAGGGUGGGAGCGGUUAUCGGAAUUACUGGGGCGUAAAACGUGCGGCCAGCGGGUUUGCUUAAAAACAAGUGGAAAUUCCCCCCGGGUUAACCCUGGGGAAAUGCGUUUGGUGGACUCGGCCAGCUAUAGUAUUGGCGAAAGAGGGGGUAAAAAUUCCCCCUGGUUGCACUGAAAAUGCCGUAUAGAAGUGUGAGGAAAAACGAUGGCGGAGGGAGGCCUCCUGGGGCGCAUAUUGAGCUCUUGCAAGAAGCGUGGAGACCAACAGGAUUAGAUCCCUGUGAUAGUCCACGCUCAUAACGAUGUCAUUUAGGUUGUGGGGUAUCUCAUCUCCUUUAGUAAGAAAGUUACGGCGUGAGGGUUGACCCGCCUGGGGAGUCCGGUCGCAAGAUUAAACUUCAAAGGAAUUGACGGGGGCCCCCGCCAAGCCGGUGGAUGAAUGUGGAUUAUUUCGGAUGCAACGCGAAAAACUUUACUCUACCCUUGACCAUGGACGGGAUUCUUGUUAAGAGGUGGGAAUUGCUCGAAAGGAGAACCCGUCGCCCCAGGUGUUGCAUGGCUGUUCUUCAGCUUCGUGUCGUGAGGAUGUUGGGUUAAGUCCCCGCACCGAGCGCAACCCUUGUCCUUAGUUGCUACGCAAGAGCACUCUAAGGAGACUGCCGGUGACAAACCGGAGGAAGGUGGGGAUGACGUCAAGUCCUCAUGGCCCUUAUGGGUAGGGCUUCACACGUCAUACAAUGGUCGGAACAGAGGGUCGCCAACCCGCGAGGGGGAGCCAAUCCCAGAAAACCGAUCGUAGUCCGGAUUGCACUCUGCAACUCGAGUGCAUGAAGCUGGAAUCGCUAGUAAUCGCGGAUCAGCAUGCCGCGGUGAAUACGUUCCCGGGUCUUGUACACACCGCCCGUCACACCAUGGGAGUGGGUUUUACCAGAAGUGGCUAGUCUAACCUUCGGGAGGACGGUCACCACGGUAGGAUUCAUGACUGGGGUGAAGUCGUAACAAGGUAACC